UGGAGGCAGCAGUGGGGAAUUUUGCGCAAUGGGGGAAACCCUGACGCAGCAACGCCGCGUGAGUGAUGAAGGCCUUCGGGUCGUAAAGCUCUGUCAGAGGGAAAGAAAUGUAUGGUGGUUAAUACCCGCUAUGCUUGACGGUACCCUCAAAGGAAGCACCGGCUAACUCCGUGCCAGCAGCCGCGGUAAUACGGAGGGUGCGAGCGUUGUUCGGAAUUAUUGGGCGUAAAGCGCGUGUAGGCGGUUCUUUAAGUCUGAUGUGAAAGCCCCGGGCUCAACCUGGGAAGUGCAUUGGAAACUGGAGAACUUGAGUACGGGAGAGGGUAGUGGAAUUCCCAGUGUAGGAGUGAAAUCCGUAGAUAUUGGGAGGAACACCGGUGGCGAAGGCGGCUACCUGGACCGAUACUGACGCUGAGACGCGAAAGCGUGGGGAGCAAACAGGAUUAGAUACCCGGGUAGUCC
rnacentral:rRNA from 1 species